CGAAAGGAUUGCUAAUACCGCAUGUGGUCAUUGGAUUUAGAAACCGAUGUCUAAAGGAGCAAUCCGCUUUGGGAGGGACCUGCGUCCCAUCAGCUAGUUGGUGAGGUAACGGCCCACCAAGGCGACGACGGGUAGGGGACCUGAGAGGGUGGCCCCCCACAAUGGAACUGAAAUACGGUCCAUACACCUACGGGUGGCAGCAGUAGGGAAUAUUGGGCAAUGGGCGAAAGCCUGACCCAGCAACGCCGCGUGUGUGAUGAAGGCCUUCGGGUCGUAAAGCACUUUUCUGGGAGAUGAGAAAGGACAGUAUCCCAGGAAUAAGUCUCGGCUAACUACGUGCCAGCAGCCGCGGUAAAACGUAGGAGGCGAGCGUUAUCCGGAUUCACUGGGCGUAAAGCGCGUGCAGGUGGCGCGGUAAGUUGGGCGUGAAAUCUCCCGGCUCAACUGGGAGAGGUCGUCCAAUACUACCGUGCUUGAGAGCAGAAGAGGAAGAUGGAAUUCCCGGUGUAGUGGUGAAAUGCGUAGAUAUCGGGAGGAACACCAGUGGCGAAGGCGAUCUUCUGGUCUGUUUCUGACACUCAGACGCGACAGCUAGGGUAGUAAACGGGAUUAGAGACCCCGGUAAUCCUAGCCGUAAACGAUGUGAACUUGGCGUUGGUGGGUUAAACUCCAUCAGUGCCGUAGCAAACGCGAUAAGUUCACCGCCUGGGGACUACGGCCGCAAGGUUAAAACUCAAAGGAAUUGACGGGGGCCCGCACAAGCAGCGGAGCGUGUGGUUUAAUUCGAUGCUACACGAAGAACCUUACCCAGGCUUGACAUAUAGGUGGUAGAGAUCCGAAAGGUGACCGACCCGCAAGGGAGCCUGUACAGGUGUUGCAUGGCUGUCGUCAGCUCGUGUCGUGAGAUGUUCGGUUAAGUCCGCUAACGAGCGCAACCCUCGCUGCGUGUUACAAGUGUCACGCAGGACCGCCGGUAUUAAGCCGGAGGAAGGUGGGGAUGACGUCAAGUCAGCAUGGCCUUUAUGCCUGGGGCUACACACACGCUACAAUGGGCAGUACAAUGGGUUGCUAAGCCGCGAGGUGGAGCCAA
rnacentral:rRNA from 1 species